GAUGAACGCUGGCGGCGUGCCUAAUACAUGCAAGUCGAGCGAACAGACGAGGAGCUUGCUCCUCUGACGUUAGCGGCGGACGGGUGAGUAACACGUGGAUAACCUACCUAUAAGACUGGGAUAACUUCGGGAAACCGGAGCUAAUACCGGAUAAUAUAUUGAACCGCAUGGUUCAAUAGUGAAAUACGGUUUUGCUGUCACUUAUAGAUGGAUCCGCGCCGCAUUAGCUAGUUGGUAAGUUAACGGCUUACCAAGGCAACGAUGCGUAGCCGACCUGAGAGGGUGAUCGGCCACACUGGAACUGAGACACGGUCCAGACUCCUACGGGAGGCAGCAGUAGGGAAUCUUCCGCAAUGGGCGAAAGCCUGACGGAGCAACGCCGCGUGAGUGAUGAAGGUCUUCGGAUCGUAAAACUCUGUUAUUAGGGAAGAACAAAUGUGUAAGUAACUAUGCACGUCUUGACGGUACCUAAUCAGAAAGCCACGGCUAACUACGUG
rnacentral:rRNA from 1 species